rnacentral:rRNA from 1 species
AUACGGAGGGUGCGAGCGUUGUUCGGAAUUAUUGGGCGUAAAGAGCAUGUAGGCGGUCUGUUAAGCCUGGUGUGAAAGCCCGGGGCUCAACCCCGGAAGUGCAUUGGAUACUGGCAGACUUGAGUAUGGGAGAGGAAAGCGGAAUUCCGAGUGUAGGAGUGAAAUCCGUAGAUAUUCGGAGGAACACCAGUGGCGAAGGCGGCUUUCUGGACCAAUACUGACGCUGAGAUGCGAAAGCGUGGGGAGCAAACAGGAUUAGAAACCCGGGUAGUCC